rnacentral:rRNA from 1 species
UACGUAGGUGACCAGCGUUGUCCGGAUUUACUGGGCGUAAAGAGCGCGCAGGCGGUCGUUUAAGUCGGGUGUGAAAGCCCCCGGCUCAACUGGGGAGGGUCACGCGAUACUGAUCGACUCGAAGGCAGGAGAGGGUAGUGGAAUUCCCGGUGUAGUGGUGAAAUGCGUAGAUAUCGGGAGGAACACCAGUGGCGAAGGCGACUACCUGGCCUGUUCUUGACGCUGAGGCGCGAAAGCUAGGGGAGCAAACGGG